rnacentral:rRNA from 1 species
GACGAACGCUGGCGGCGUGCUUAACACAUGCAAGUCGAACGGAAAGGCCCUGCUUUUGUGGGGUGCUCGAGUGGCGAACGGGUGAGUAACACGUGAGUAACCUGCCCUUGACUUUGGGAUAACUUCAGGAAACUGGGGCUAAUACCGGAUAGGAGCUCCUGCUGCAUGGUGGGGGUUGGAAAGUUUCGGCGGGUGGUGGAUGGACUCGCGGCUUAUCAGCUUGUUGGUGGGGUAGUGGCUUACCAAGGCUUUGACGGGUAGCCGGCCUGAGAGGGGGGCAGGCGAAAUUGGGACUGAGAGACGGCCCAGACGCCUACGGGAGGCAGCAAUGGGGAAUAUUGCACAAUGGGCGGAAGCCUGAUGCAGCAACGCCGCGUGCGGGAUGACGGCCUUCGGGUUGUAAACCGCUUUCGCCUGUGACGAAGCGUGAGUGACGGUAAUGGGUAAAGAAGCACCGGCUAACUACGUGCCAGCCGCCGCAGUAACAC